ensembl:misc_RNA 7SK 7SK RNA
GGAUGUGAGGAUGAUUUGGCUGUGAUAUCUGUCACCCUAUUGAUCACCAGGGUUGAUUCAGCUGAUCUAGCUGACUAGGCAGAUGUCCCCUUCCUCCCUCACCGCUCCAUGUGCGUCUCUCCCGAUGCUGCGUGCUUGGUCAAAGAGGACGACCUUCCGUGAUAGAGGAGCAUUCUUUGGUCAAGGGUAUAUGAGUAGCUGUGCUCCCCUGCUAGACCCUCCAAACAAGCUUCAUAAAAUACUUACAAAUAAGUACUACCUACCCAAAAACAAUUAUAAAUUACUAGAAUAAGGAAUUCAAUAAAGU